rnacentral:rRNA from 1 species
GACGGAGGGGGCAAGCGUUGUCCGGACUCACUGGGCGUAAAGCGUGCGUAGGUGGUGCGAUGCGUCGGCGCUGAAAGCGCCCGGCUUAACCGGGCGACGGGGGACGAUACGAUCGCACUGGAGGCAGGGAGACGUAGGUGGAAUUCCGGGUGUAGUGGUGAAAUGCGUAGAGAUCCGGAGGAAUGCCGGUGGCGUAAGCGGCCAACGAGUCCUGACCUGACCCAGAGGCACGAAAGCGUGGGGAGCAAACCGG